rnacentral:rRNA from 1 species
AUGCAAGUCGAGCGAAGCUUUUCAGUAGUUUACUACAGAAAAUGACUGAGCGGCGAACGGGUGAGUAACGCGUGAGCAACCUACCUUAGUUACUGGGAUAGCCCGAGGAAACUCGGAUUAAUACCGGAUAUUCUUAUUUAAUCACAUGAUUUUUUAAGGAAAGGUCAGCCGAACUAAGAUGGGCUCGCGUUCUAUCAGCUAGUUGGUAGGGUAACGGCCUACCAAGGCUACGACGGAUAGCUGGUCUGAGAGGACGAUCAGCCACACUGGGACUGAGACACGGCCCAGACUCCUACGGGAGGCUGCAGCAGGGAAUAUUGUGCAAUGAACGAAAGCUUGACACAGCGACACCGCGUGUGGGAUGACGGAUCUAGGUUUGUAAACCACUUUCAGGAGGGAAGAAAAUGACGGUACCUCCACAAGAAGCCCCGGCCAACUACGUGCCAGCAGCCGCGGUAAUACGUAGGGGGCGAGCGUUGUCCGGAUUUAUUGGGCGUAAAGAGCUCGUAGGCGGUUCAACAAGUCGGUCGUGAAAGUUCAGGGCUCAACUCUGAAAUGUCGAUCGAUACUGUUGUGACUAGGAUACGGCAGAGGUGAGUGGAAUUCCGAGUGUAGCGGUGAAAUGCGUAGAUAUUCGGAGGAACACCAAUUGCGAAGGCAGCUCACUGGGCCGCUAUCGACGCUGAGGAGCGAAAGCUAGGGGAGCAAACAGGAUUAGAUACCCUGGUAGUCCUAGCUGUAAACGAUGGAUACUAGAUGUAGGAAUUGGUUUAACGAUUUCUGUAUCGUAGCUAACGCGUUAAGUAUCCCGCCUGGGGAGUACGGUCGCAAGACUAAAACUCAAAGGAAUUGACGGGACCCCGCACAAGCGGCGGAGCAUGCGGCUUAAUUCGAUGAUACCCGUAGAACCUUACCUGGACUUGACAUAUAGGGAAAAGUUAUA